AAUUUCAUAUUUUCAUUUCUAAAUUUCCAUUUCCCUCUUGUCUCCAUUCUAAACCCUAAUUCCCUCGCUCCCCAAUUGUAAAACACUUCAUCUUCAAAAAUCCACCACCAGAUGUGGUGCAAAAUAACCUUGUGGACAUGGUUAAAGUUUUGUUCGCCAUGAAUCCAUCUCCUAUCUCAAAGUUCGUGUACUGGGUAUCUAUUUUCUCCCUCCGAUUCAACCACCUGUUGAAGUGAACUUCGUGAAUUCCCUAAAUCCCCAUGUAGCGGCUCUAAAGGGGAGAUUCUGGCACCCUUGUGGAAAAUAUCCUAUACACCAUUUCUGUCGGUGCCACACUUUUCUUACUCAAAUUUCACACAAAGGUGGUGUGCACAAUACUUGAAUCAACUUGAUUCGUGAGUUCGGGUUAAAUUCGGAUAAGAUCCGAGUGAUUUAUUCAAUUUCUUGAGUGGGAUUUAACUUAGGAACACUAGUGUUUGAGGAAAUUGUGUUUAAUGAUGAUAUUAUAGAUCUUGAUUUGGGUGGUGUGAAUUGUGAAGAUGAGUGGUGGUAGCAGUAUUGAAAUGGUUUCUGCUGCUAGCCAGAGAAGAACACACACAAACGAGAAAUGGGUUUCUUUCGAUAUUGAAAAUGAUACAAAUGGAGGGUUGAAAUACUCGAAUACAACAGAUUUUGUUGAUAGAAAUAGAAAGGUUUUGGCAAGCAACAAGAGCCCGAUUGUGGUUGUCGAUAUACUCAAAACAUUGUUUUUAUACUUGUUCUGCAGUGUAAUCUGCUGCUCCUAAUAUUCCUCCUAAUAUUUAUCAAAAAGAUGUAAUGUUUAUUGAUUAAUAAGUAAUGGCAACCAACUAUAUUCACAUGAAAAUUGAAAAGUAAAAAAAAAAACUUGAAAUAGUUAUGAUUGUGCAAUAUAAAUCAACUCUCACAUAAGAACUAUACAAAUGAUAAAUCUAGAAGCAAGUGUUUUAAUUGUUACUCAAACAAACAAUGUCUCUUGAAAUAUCCAAAUAACUUUGUUUUCUGAGUUGUCAUCUUUUAAUUCAGAUUUAAGCCUUGUACAUGCUUUGCAUUAAACUUGGAGAGCUGACUAAGGAAUUCAGUGGCAUGAGCAGGCUUCAGAAGUUACAAGAAAUCUACAUAGUAGGCAUUUAUAGUUCUACACGUAUUUGGCUUCUAAAUCUUGAAGAACUAAGGUUUGUUUUAUUAUAUCCCUUUUUCAUUUUAAAAAAAAUUAUUUGAUAAUUGAUUGUUAGAUGGUGUCUGCUAGGAUAUAUUUAUUAUUAUGUUAGAUGUUAAAGGUUUGAGUCCAUAUGGUAAUUACUUUUAUGUUUCUACUUUUGUAUAAGUAGUGGACAUUAUCUUAUCAUUUGCAUUUUGGGAUAGAGGUUUGGCGAGGAGUGUGGGACUUAAUAUUAAAUAUUUCUUGCCAGUUCCAAUCAGGAGCUAUAAGUAGGUGAUGCAAUGUUGCUUUUUAGUGUAUAGCCGAGGCUCAUGGUUUUACACAGAGAUGGCAAUAUAGGCUGGUUGGGUUACAACUCAAAAUAAAUUUAGGUUGAAAACGGGUCACUUUUUAGUACAAAUCAGCGUGGAUUGACCUGCAAACUCUAUUUGUUGAAUUUUUAAACUCUUUUUUGAUAAUUAAGUUGUUAAUUAUUAUUAUAAAACAAUAUUUUUCAGUUUUUGGUAAUAAUAUUAUUUAAGUUUUAUGCAUUAUAAUAAUAGAAUUCGACUGGCUUUAACUGCUUUGGGAUAAAAGGCAACCAAUGUCCACCAAAUUCUGAAUUUAAUAGGUACUGUACUGCCCAUGUCAUUAUAGCCUAGUGGUAUCUUUGGGGUGGGAUGAGGUUUAUAAUCAUUAGGUCAUGGGUUCGAUUCCCACAAAUAGGUUUUUCCCAGAUUUAUCGGGUUUCCUCCUGAAUUGGUGUAUAGGCAUUAUUGCCCAGCAAAGGUGGAUAUGAUUGUGGCACGAUGAUACUCUAGUGGUUCGUCAGUGAUCCAAAUUUAUCGUUAAAAAAUAAUAGGUACUGUGGUAUGCCCUUUAAACUAUAUAUUGUAAAAUUGUUUUGUCAAGAGUCUAGUUGGGCUUAUCCCAGGUGUGGCACAAGGAGUUGCUAGUCUUCUUAGCAAUACAGUUAUUGCCAUUAGUGAUGCUACCACUCAAGUCAGCAGGGCUGCACACAAGGGUAUUGUUGCCUUUACAGUGGAUGACCCGACGAUAAGCGUGAUGUGAUGAUGGCAGAGUAGAUAUCAUAAGAAGCUUUCGAGCUAAGUUAAAUGACAGUGAAAUUAUCACCCAAAAGAACGUCUAGACUCUUUGUGUAAACGAGCUAAGUUAAAUGACAGUGAAAUUAUCACCCAAAAGAACGUCUAGACUCUUUGUGUAAACAUUUGGAAAUUAGAAUACGUUAUUUAUUACACAAUGUUCUAAUAACAUUUGUAAUUUGUUUUCGACAGAACUUAUUGAAGUUAUAAUAUUAUGAUUU